rnacentral:rRNA from 1 species
GUGCCUAACACAUGCAAGUCGAGCGGUAACAGGCGUAGCAAUACGUGCUGACGAGCGGCGAACGGGUGAGUAACGCUUCGGAAUCUGCCCAAUGGUGGGGAAUAACCAGCCGAAAGGUUGGCUAAUACCGCAUGAGCCCUACGGGGGAAAGCGGGGGAUCGUAAGACCUCGCGCCGAUGGAUGAGCCGAAGCCGGAUUAGCUAGUUGGUAGGGUAACGGCCUACCAAGGCGACGAUCCGUAGCUGGUCUGAGAGGACGACCAGCCACACUGGGACUGAGACACGGCCCAG